rnacentral:rRNA from 1 species
CGCUACGGUGAAUACGUUCCCGGACCUUGCACACACCGCCCGUCAAGCCAUGGAAGCCGGGUGUACCUAAAGUCGGUAACCGUAAGGAGCCGCCUAGGGGUAAAAACCGGUGACUGGGGCU